rnacentral:rRNA from 1 species
UACGUAGGGUGCGAGCGUUAAUCGGAAUUACUGGGCGUAAAGCGUGCGCAGGCGGUUUUGUAAGCCAGAUGUGAAAUCCCCGGGCUCAACCUGGGAAUGGCAUUUGGGACUGCAAGGCUUGAGUGCGGCAGAGGAGACUGGAAUUCCUGGUGUAGCAGUGAAAUGCGUAGAUAUCAGGAGGAACACCGGUGGCGAAGGCGGAUCUCUGGGCCUUACCUGACGCUCAGGCGCGAAAGCUAGGGGAGCGAACAGG